ensembl:lncRNA
GGAAAAGGGAGGGGGGAUCUGGAUAAGCGCCAUAUUGGAGGUGGCACUUCCACGCUGUUACCCUGGUUCGAGCUACAAGUGUUACGCUUCAUGUGGAGAUGCAAGGACUAUGGAACGCAGUGCUCUGAGACAGAAGUCUUCAACCAUAGACUUAACUACAUCUGUGGGAUGAUUUUGAUCCAUGGCUCACUGGGAGGACUGCCAGAGUUCAAUGAAAUCAUUCAAAUGGUGAUACUGCAAGACAAGUUGAUCUUUGUUGUGAAGAAGCUCAGUGGAUGGUAUAUUGAACACUGUAGAGCUUAUGAUCGCCAGGCAAGGAAGUGGGAACUUAUUGGACCAGAAGAACUACAUGAUGCUUACCCCCUGGCCGACUACAAAAUUGGGAGGAUGCGUCUUGUCACAUUGAAAAGAUAUAUCCAUGUUUAGUAUGGAGGACUAAAAGUGCCACAAUUAAAUAAAUAAACACACCAUUAAAA